rnacentral:rRNA from 1 species
UACGAAGGGGGCUAGCGUUGCUCGGAAUCACUGGGCGUAAAGCGCACGUAGGCGGAUUGUUAAGUCAGGGGUGAAAUCCUGGAGCUCAACUCCAGAACUGCCUUUGAUACUGGCGAUCUUGAGUCCGGGAGAGGUGAGUGGAACUCCGAGUGUAGAGGUGAAAUUCGUAGAUAUUCGGAAGAACACCAGUGGCGAAGGCGGCUCACUGGCCCGGUACUGACGCUGAGGUGCGGAAGCGUGGGGAGCAAACAGG